CCUACGGGGGGCAGCAGUGGGGAAUAUUGGACAAUGGGGGCAACCCUGAUCCAGCCAUGCCGCGUGUGUGAAGAAGGCCCUCGGGUUGUAAAGCACUUUCAGUGAGGAAGAACGCCUGGUGGUUAAUACCCAUCAGGAAAGACAUCACUCACAGAAGAAGCACCGUCUAACUCCGUGCCAGCAGCCGCGGUAAUACGGAGGGUGCGAGCGUUAAUCGGAAUUACUGGGCGUAAAGGGCGCGUAGGUGGCUUGAUAAGCCGGUUGUGAAAGCCCCGGGCUCAACCUGGGAACGGCAUCCGGAACUGUCAAGCUAGAGUGCAGGAGAGGAAGGUAGAAUUCCCGGUGUAGCGGUGAAAUGCGUAGAGAUCGGGAGGAACACCAGUGGCGAAGGCGGCCUUCUGGACUGUCACUGACACUGAGGUGCGAAAGCGUGGGUAGCAAACAGGAUUAGAUACCCCAGUAGUC
rnacentral:rRNA from 1 species